UACGUAGGUGACCAGCGUUGUCCGGAUUUACUGGGCGUAAAGAGCGCGCAGGCGGUCGUUCAAGUCGAGUGUGAAAGCCCCCGGCUCAACUGGGGAGGGUCAUUCGAUACUGAUCGACUCGAAGGCAGGAGAGGGUAGUGGAAUUCCCGGUGUAGUGGUGAAAUGCGUAGAUAUCGGGAGGAACACCAGUGGCGAAGGCGACUACCUGGCCUGUUCUUGACGCUGAGGCGCGAAAGCUAGGGUAGCAAACAGG
rnacentral:rRNA from 1 species